AAGAAUUUGGCUAGGAGUGUAUUGUGUGCUCUCUUCUGUCAGGGAUGCAAAACCUAGAGCUUCAGGGUCCUUUAAAUAAUGCCAGAAGUGUCCCAAAUUGCGGUCCGGUCCAAAAGAAUCAAAUCAGAGCAGAAACAGGGCCCGAUCCAGGUCAAUUCACGCUAAAGCAUCAAAUAGGGCUCGCCCAAGCGUUAAUCAAGGAUUCUGGGGCGCUUGGGAGUCAGUUUUUCUCGCCCAGGCUACGAACGUCUGUCGCCCGGGCGCUGGGUCUGUCGCCCGGGCGACGAGCGAUGAUCUUCAGCUCGAAAAUUUUCCGUUCUUCUCGCCUGGUCUUCGG
rnacentral:lncRNA from 1 species